AACGAACGCUGGCGGCAGGCUUAACACAUGCAAGUCGAACGCUCGUAGCAAUAAGGGAGUGGCAGACGGGUGAGUAAAACGCGGGAACGUGCACUAAGGCACGGAACAACGCCGGGAAACUGGAGCUCAUAACGUAUGUGACCGAGAGGUCACAGAUUUAUCGCCUUAGGAGCGGCCCGCGUUGGAUUAGGUGGUUGGCGGGGUAAAAGCCCAGCAAGUCGACGAUCGUUAACUGGUCUGAGAGGAUGAUCAGGCAGACUGGAACUGAGCCACGGUCCAGACUCCUACGGGAAGCAGCAGUGGGGAAUCUUGGACAAUGGGCGCAAGCCUGAUCCAGCCAUGCCGCGUGAGUGACGAAGGCCCUAGGGUUGUAAAACUCUUUCGCCGAGGACGAUAAUGACGGUACUCGGAGAAAAAGCUCCGGCUAACUUCGUGCCAGCAGCCGCGGUAA
rnacentral:rRNA from 1 species